CCCAAGAGAAGUCCUCAGUUACACAACUGGAAUCCUGUUCUCAAACAGGAAGAUGCCGGCAGCAGACGAGCCAUCACUAGUCUGAAAAUUACGAAGAUAGUACUGCAUCAGUGGAGGUCCUCACUCGUCCGAUAAGCUCUUAUACAACGCCCGUUACCUGGUAUCAAACCCUUCUAUGUUUGUUUUUUCUUCAAGGAACACUUAGUGCAGAGUUCGGGGCAAGAUUACCUGAAACUCCAUCUCAGUCUUACCUUCCACCUUCCUCCCAUAACACUCGAAAUAAUUUUGGGACUCCGUCCAUAAGAAACGAUAACACACCAAUAGAUAACGUAGCUACCCCAUCAGAUUCAGCAAAUGCCAGAGAAGUAACAGACACACAGACUGCCCGUGAAACGUUAGAGGACGGUCCUAGUUUUGGAGUCACUGGUACAAACACUGCAGAUAAUGACUUUAGGGAAAUAUCUAAUUUAAGUACCGAGUCACCACCCACUGAAUCAACAAAUGGCAAUUUUGACCCUCAAAGUAACAUUGUCAGAGAUAUUGGCCGAGAUGACAAUGCAGUGAUUGACAGCUCUGGGGAUGAGGGAACAGAAGAAAGAAGAAAUCAAAUAGAUGGUGGAAAAAACGAA